rnacentral:misc_RNA from 1 species
GAGGAGUGGAGUAAAGUGAUGGUUGAAAAUGACACAACCUUGCAAAGUGGGGUGUGGACUCUCUUUUAGAGCAUUCACUAAGCUUUAUUAAAAUUUGGGAAUGUUGUGUAGGGGUGGCAACAUUGGGCAUGAUGUGUGCACAUGAAACUAAUGUGAAUUAGAGUUUUGAGUUUGUAUUAGUUGUUUCUUUAUGUAAUAAGGUUAGCAUAGUU